CACAUGCAAGUCGAGGGGCAUCGGGAGGGAAGCUUGCUUUCCUUGCCGGCGACCGGCGCACGGGUGAGUAACACGUAUGCAACCUGCCCUCUUCAGGGGGACAACCUUCCGAAAGGGAGGCUAAUCCCGCGUAUAUCGGUUUCGGGCAUCCGAGAUCGAGGAAAGAUUCAUCGGAAGAGGAUGGGCAUGCGGCGCAUUAGCUAGACGGCGGGGUAACGGCCCACCGUGGCGACGAUGCGUAGGGGUUCUGAGAGGAAGGUCCCCCACACUGGUACUGAGACACGGACCAGACUCCUACGGGAGGCAGCAGUGAGGAAUAUUGGUCAAUGGGAGAGAUCCUGAACCAGCCAAGCCGCGUGAGGGAAGACGGCCCUAUGGGUUGUAAACCUCUUUUGUCGGAGAACAAAACCCGGGACGUGUCCCGGACUGCGUGUAUCCGAAGAAAAAGCAUCGGCUAACUCCGUGCCAGCAGCCGCGGUAAUACGGAGGAUGCGAGCGUUAUCCGGAUUUAUUGGGUUUAAAGGGUGCGUAGGCGGUCCGUUAAGUCAGCGGUAAAAUUGCGGGGCUCAACCCCGUCGAGCCGUUGAAACUGGCAGACUUGAGUUGGCGAGAAGUACGCGGAAUGCGCGGUGUAGCGGUGAAAUGCAUAGAUAUCGCGCAGAACUCCGAUUGCGAAGGCAGCGUACCGGCGCCAGACUGACGCUGAGGCACGAAAGCGUGGGGAUCGAACAGGAUUAGAUACCCUGGUAGUCCACGCAGUAAACGAUGAAUGCUGGUUGUCCGGGUCGAAUGAGAUCUGGGCGGCGAAGCGAAAGCGAUAAGCAUUCCACCUGGGGAGUACGCCGGCAACGGUGAAACUCAAAGGAAUUGACGGGGGCCCGCACAAGCGGAGGAACAUGUGGUUUAAUUCGAUGAUACGC
rnacentral:rRNA from 1 species